rnacentral:rRNA from 1 species
GCUUAACACAUGCAAGUCGAGGGGCAGCGGGGAGGAAGCUUGCUUUCUCCGCCGGCGACCGGCGCACGGGUGAGUAACACGUAUGCAACCUGCCCCUGUCAGGGGGACAACCCGCCGAAAGGCGGGCUAAACCCGCGUACAUGCCACCGGGGCAUCCCGGAGGCAGGAAAGGCUUCGGCCGGACAGGGAUGGGCAUGCGGCGCAUUAGGCAGUAGGCGGGGUAACGGCCCACCUAACCGACGAUGCGUAGGGGUUCUGAGAGGAAGGUCCCCCACACUGGUACUGAGACACGGACCAGACUCCUACGGGAGGCAGCAGUGAGGAAUAUUGGUCAAUGGUCGGGAGACUGAACCAGCCAAGCCGCGUGAGGGAGGAAGGUACAGAGUAUCGUAAACCUCUCUUGUCAGGGAACAAAGACUGGGACGCGUCCCCGGAUGAGUGUACCUGAAGAAAAAGCAUCGGCUAACUCCGUGCCAGCAGCCGCGGUAAUACGGAGGAUGCGAGCGUUAUCCGGAUUUAUUGGGUUUAAAGGGUGCGCAGGCGGUCUGUUAAGUCAGCGGUCAAAGCCCGGGGCUCAACCCCGGCCCGCCGUUGAAACUGGCAGUCUCGAGUUGGAGAGAAGUAUGCGGAAUGCGCGGUGUAGCGGUGAAAUGCAUAGAUAUCGCGCAGAACUCCGAUUGCGAAGGCAGCAUGCCGGCUCCACACUGACGCUGAGGCACGAAAGCGUGGGUAUCGAACAAGAUUAGAUACCCUGGUAGUCCACGCAGUAAACGAUGAAUGCUGGUGUUCCGGGGGGACUGACCCCUGGGUGGCGAAGCGAAAGCGAUAAGCAUUCCACCUGGGGAGUACGCCGGCAACGGUGAAACUCAAAGGAAUUGACGGGGGCCCGCACAAGCGGAGGAACAUGUGGUUUAAUUCGAUGAUACGCGAGGAACCUUACCCGGGCUCAAACGGGGAGUGACUCAGGCAGAGACGCCUGUUUCNCACGGGACACUCCCCGAGGUGCUGCAUGGUUGUCGUCAGCUCGUGCCGUGAGGUGUCGGCUUAAGUGCCAUAACGAGCGCAACCCCCGCGUGCAGUUGCUAACAGAUAACGCUGAGGACUCUGCACGGACUGCCGGCGCAAGCCGCGAGGAAGGCGGGGAUGACGUCAAAUCAGCACGGCCCUUACGUCCGGGGCGACACACGUGUUACAAUGGGUGGUACAGCGGGAAGCCAGGCGGCGACGCCGAGCGGAACCCGAAAUCCACUCUCAGUUCGGAUCGGAGUCUGCAACCCGACUCCGUGAAGCUGGAUUCGCUAGUAAUCGCGCAUCAGCCAUGGCGCGGUGAAUACGCUCCCGGGCCUUGUACAUACCGCCCGUCAAGCCAUGGGAGCCGAGGGCGCUUGAAGU